UACAGAGGUCCCAAGCGUUGUUCGGAUUCAUUGGGCGUAAAGGGUGCGUAGGUGGCGCUGUAAGUCGGGUGUGAAAUUUCGGAGCUUAACUCCGAAACUGCAUUCGAUACUGCGGUGCUCGAGGACUGGAGAGGAGACUGGAAUUCAUGGUGUAGCAGUGAAAUGCGCAGAUAUCAGGAGGAACACCGAUGGCGAAGGCAGCUCGCUGGGACGGUACUGACGCUGGAGACGCGAAAGCGUGGGGAGCGAACAGG
rnacentral:rRNA from 1 species